ACAAGCGGUGGAGCAUGUGGUUAAUUCGAAGCAACGCGAAGAACCUUACCAGGCCUUGACAUGCAGAGAACUUUCCAGAGAUGGAUUGGUGCCUUCGGGAACUCUGACACAGGUGCUGCAUGGCUGUCGUCAGCUCGUGUCGUGAGAUGUUGGGUUAAGUCCCGUAACGAGCGCAACCCUUGUCCUUAGUUACCAGCACGUUAUGGUGGGCACUCUAAGGAGACUGCCGGUGACAAACCGGAGGAAGGUGGGGAUGACAUCAAGUCAUCAUGGCCCUUACGGCCUGGGCUACACACGUGCUACAAUGGUCGGUACAAAGGGUUGCCAAGCCGCGAGGUGGAGCUAAUCCCAUAAAACCGAUCGUAGUCCGGAUCGCAGUCUGCAACUCGACUGCGUGAAGUCGGAAUCGCUAGUAAUCGUGAAUCAGAAUGUCACGGUGAAUACGUUCCCGGGCCUU
rnacentral:rRNA from 1 species